UGCUUAACACAUGCAAGUCGAGCGGUAAGGCCCUUCGGGGUACACGAGCGGCGAACGGGUGAGUAACACGUGGGUGAUCUGCCCUGCACUUCGGGAUAAGCCUGGGAAACUGGGUCUAAUACCGGAUAUGACCUUCGGCUGCAUGGCUGAGGGUGGAAAGGUUUAC
rnacentral:rRNA from 1 species